rnacentral:rRNA from 1 species
UACGUAGGGUGCAAGCGUUACUCGGAAUUACUGGGCGUAAAGCGUGCGUAGGUGGUUCGUUAAGUCUGCCGUGAAAGCCCCGGGCUCAACCUGGGAAUGGCGGUGGAUACUGGCGGACUAGAGUGCGGUAGAGGGUGGUGGAAUUCCCGGUGUAGCAGUGAAAUGCGUAGAGAUCGGGAGGAACAUCUGUGGCGAAGGCGGCCACCUGGACCAGCACUGACACUGAGGCACGAAAGCGUGGGGAGCAAACAGG